rnacentral:rRNA from 1 species
AUGGCGCCUGGAAUCCUGAAAGGUGGGUUAUUAUGCUUUGUUUGGCUAUUAAGCCAUACCUGCAGGACCAAAUAUAUACACAUGGUAUGGUUAUCCCUGCAGGAUCAUGCUUGUGUGGGAAUAAUAGAUUCUAAGGCAAACAAAAACUGGGAUUAUACUGAUAUUAUGUUAUAUAUGUACAUCCGUUGUCGCUGUAUUGGUAUUUCUAUAUUUUUUCCAUCUGUACAAAAAACAAAAGCACCAAAUAUAUUCUCACCUCCGCUAUGCCAGGGGCACUUAGACAAGAAAGGAGAUGGUUUCAGAUAUGAAGUUAUAAAAAAAUUCAAGCCAUCAUCAAGAAAUGGAGGAAGCUAUAGAUCCUGGAGCAUAGAACAUAUAAAUCACGCUACGCAACCCGCCAAUCUGGAGGCAUUGUCGCGAUGCAGCAGUAUGGGCCGCUUGAUUCUUUUACGAUAG